UACGUAGGGUCCGAGCGUUGUCCGGAAUUAUUGGGCGUAAAGAGCUCGUAGGCGGUUUGUCACGUCUGCUGUGAAAACUGGAGGCUCAGCCUCCAGCCUGCAGUGGGUACGGGCAGACUAGAGUGCGGUAGGGGAGAUUGGAAUUCCUGGUGUAGCGGUGGAAUGCGCAGAUAUCAGGAGGAACACCGAUGGCGAAGGCAGAUCUCUGGGCCGUAACUGACGCUGAGGAGCGAAAGCAUGGGGAGCGAACAGG
rnacentral:rRNA from 1 species